UAGCCCUGCGGAGGGGGAGCGCUGACCGAGGAGCAGACCCUGCCCCGGGCAUUAAACCGUGCGGGGUUUCUUCUGACCAACGAGUCCCAAGGAGCUCCUGAAAGAGCGGGACUGAGGCCGGCUCUGGUGAGCGAUGCCGAAGGGGUGGCCCUGACCCUGUCGUGCGGCUCCCGGGGCCAGAGUGCCGGGGGGUUCCUGCCCGCUCCUGGCGAUGCUCCGCUGGGCACGCCCGGCUGCAGGAGUGAAAGUCACCUUCAGAGAAGCGCGGACUGAAUGAAGGACACGGUAAGCUUCCAGCAAUGGGGCACGUUGAUGGAUAGUGAAGAUGGUGGUGGUGGGGAGAAUGGACGGUGGGAAACAAAGCACAGCCAGCCCCCUGACUUUUUGCAAGUUAUAAAUGCUGUAUGAAAUUCUAGUUUCAACACCAGAGAAUGUUUUCUCCUGUUGUUCAGAGUGACUCCAGAUGCUGAUGUACUUAGUUACACAGCACAAGUAACCCAA